GAUGAAGAACGCAGCGAAAUGCGAUACGUAAUGUGAAUUGCAGAAUUCAGUGAAUCAUCGAGUCUUUGAACGCACAUUGCGCCCCCUGGUAUUCCGGGGGGCAUGCCUGUCCGAGCGUCAUUGCUGCCCUCAAGCACGGCUUGUGUGUUGGGCCUCCGCCCCCCGGCUCCCGGGGGGCGGGCCCGAAAGGCAGCGGCGGCACCGCGUCCGGUCCUCGAGCGUAUGGGGCUUCGUCACCCGCUCCGUAGGCCCGGCCGGCGCCCGCCGGCGACCCCCCUCAAUCUUCCCAGGUUGACCUCGGAUCAGGUAGGGAUACCCGCUGAACUUAAGCAUAUCAAUAAGCGGAGGA
rnacentral:misc_RNA from 1 species